UACGAAGGGGGCUAGCGUUGCUCGGAAUUACUGGGCGUAAAGCGCACGUAGGCGGCUUCUUAAGUCGGUGGUGAAAUCCUGGAGCUCAACUCCAGAACUGCCUUCGAUACUGGGAAGCUCGAGUCCGGGAGAGGUGAGUGGAACUGCGAGUGUAGAGGUGAAAUUCGUAGAUAUUCGCAAGAACACCAGUGGCGAAGGCGGCUCACUGGCCCGGUACUGAGGCUGAGGUGCGAAAGCGUGGGGAGCAAACAGG
rnacentral:rRNA from 1 species